AUUGAACGCUAGCGGGAUGCCUUACACAUGCAAGUCGAACGGCAGCGCGGACUUCGGUCUGGCGGCGAGUGGCGAACGGGUGAGUAAUGUAUCGGAACGUGCCCAGUAGCGGGGGAUAACUACUCGAAGGAGUAGCUAAUACCGCAUACGCCCUACGGGGGAAAGGGGGGGAUCGCAAGACCUCUCACUAUUGGAGCGGCCGAUAUCGGAUUAGCUAGUUGGUGAGGUAAAGGCUCACCAAGGCGACGAUCCGUAGCUGGUUUGAGAGGACGACCAGCCACACUGGGACUGAGACACGGCCCAGACUCCUACGGGAGGCAGCAGUGGGGAAUUUUGGACAAUGGGGGCAACCCUGAUCCAGCCAUUCCGCGUGUGCGAUGAAGGCCUUCGGGUUGUAAAGCACUUUUGGCAGGAAAGAAAUCGCACGGAUUAAUACUCUGUGUGGAUGACGGUACCUGCAGAAUAAGCACCGGCUAACUACGUGCCAGCAGCCGCGGUAA
rnacentral:rRNA from 1 species